GGAAGCUCUCAAAAAUAUGGAAGUAAAACAGAAGAAACUGAUGUGAAAACACAACAGUAUUUGACCUGUCUGCAUGCAUUUAUAAUCCCAACUUCAGCUCAAGGCAGAGAUACCACAUGGUCAGAAUAGAAGCUGGUUGUGACUUCCCAGUCCUGGAAUCAUGAAACUGUAGUGCUACAAGAAGAAAAGAAUAAGAAUCUUUUAAAAAGUAUGGCAAAAUUGAUGGAACAUUCAAGAAGUGAAAAUCGACUUUAUUUUAAAAUCUUGUAAAAUCCAAAGUAUUCAAUUUUAAAAUUUAAGUGCAAGUAGCAUCUCACUUCCAUAAAACUCAGUGAGACAUUUAAAAUAUGAGACUAAAUAUAAACUAGAACUACCUGCAAGAAGAAGGAUAAUUAAUGAUUCAAAACCCUAUUACUCAGAAGCGGGAGAAUUUAGUCAGUCUCAUUCAUAAGUAAACAGCAAAGUCUAAUUUGUUCAUAGAGCAAACAAGAUUUCCUGUAGAAAUUCUAAAGAAUUAUAGUUAUCAUGAUACAUGGCUAUCUUUGUUCUUUAUUUGUUAUUUCUGAAUGUGCAACCUUGGUUUCUAUGCUACUGUAGUGUGAUUCAUAUCUUGUGGUUAAAAAGACUGGCUUUUGUUUCCAAAAUUUCUGCUGUGAGAAAACGUCUGCUGAAGUGUAGAUAGUUUGUGGUCUGUGGAUGAAGUAUGUAUUCUUUAUAACCUCCUCCAGUAAGAAUAGACUCAUCACAAGACAUAUGACAACACUAUUCAUACUGGUGCAGUCAAGUUGGCACAUCACCCACUAAUUGUAUGAUCAAACAAUUUUUCUAUUUAGAAAGAAAUAUUUCAUGUUACAUUUGUACAUGUGAUUUGCAUAAUUUCCAGGUUGUAGAUGUACACAUUACUCUUGUUGUAGGACAGACUAUUUCUAUCACUUAAAAUGAUAUAAUUAAAAUUA